rnacentral:rRNA from 1 species
GUGCCAGCCGCCGCGGUAAUACGGAGGGUGCAAACGUUGCUCGGAAUCAUUGGGCGUAAAGCGCACGUAGGCGGUCCUACAAGUCGGGUGUGAAAGCCCUCGGCUCAACCGAGGAAGUGCAUCCGAAACUGUAGAACUUGAGUAGUGAAGAGGGUCUCGGAAUUCCCGGUGUAGAGGUGAAAUUCGUAGAUAUCGGGAGGAACACCAGCGGCGAAGGCGGAGACCUGGGCACAUACUGACGCUGAGGUGCGAAAGCGUGGGGAGCAAACAGGAUUAGAUACCCGUGUAGUCC